CUGCGGCCUGAGCGUCUGCACCCCUGGAACGCGGCGUGGAGCCCCUCGCAGCAGAGCUGGCCUCCUGAGGAGCCGGUCCUGCAGUUUCCGUCUUAGUCCCGGUUUCGCUGCCUGCAGUGCCUGCGCACAGCGGGGGCUCCGCAAGCAUUUGCCUGGGGUGGUUUUCUCUAGGCAGAAAUUGUGUCCUUUCGGGGGCCCUGCGUGGCUCAGCCGUUGAGCAUCUGCCUCCGGCCCAGGGCGUGACCCCAGGUCCCGGGAUGGAGUCCCCCGUCGGGUCCCGCAGGGAGCCUGCUUCUCCCUCCGCCUGUGCCUCUGCUCCUCUCUCUCUCUCUCUCUCUGUGUGUCUCAUGAAUUAUGUCCUUUGCUUCCUUUGUCCGUCUGCGCUAGAGGCCUGGUUGGUAGGAAUAACGUGACAGACGCCGGACGGGAAAAUUCCUGUGUUUCAGGGAAUGGAAUGUCGCCUGUGACAGGAGCCCCAAAGCCAGGAACCAAAAUUAAUACCGAUAACUGCUUCUUGGGCAGAGGCAGAUCAGGUCCUGUCAGUAAAACUGGAAGAUCUGCAAAACUUUCCUCAGGUCGUGGAAACUCCUAGAAGCACAGAGGUGGCAUUUUAAGAGAGAGAGAAAGCAGGCACAGAUGGAGAAGGAGAGGGAGAAGCAGACGCCCCUCUGAGCGGGGAGCCAGACCGGGGACUCGACCCCAGGACCCUGAGACCACGACCUGAGCUGAGGGCAGACGCGUCACUGCCGGAGCCCCCCGGGCAUCCCCAAGCCUAGUGCAAUUUUACAGCUAAUACGGGAGGCCCAACUUUUAGAACACAAUUAUUUCUAACUUGAAUGUGAGUAGUCUCUAUCGUCGAGCCCUAAAUUGGCCUGGUAAGGCGUCGUCACACGGGGGGACGUCAAGCGUCGUCACACGGGGAGAAAGAACCAGUUUUACGCAAGCCAGACACACACGACCCCUGUCCAUAAACGCGAGGCAUGCACAGAAGCUGCGGGUGCACCAGCAGACAGUCGCUCGGGUACGUGACCCGAGGUACAGGAGCGUUCGGUUCGCGGGCACUGUGCUGUUCUUCUACAGAAGGAAAAAGAAAGAAGGACGAACACCAGUACCAGGAAGAGGAAGUGAAGGAAGGGAGAGGAGCCCCAGGCUUCCCUCCCACUUUGGUGAAGGAGCAGGUGCCAGCAGCGCCUAGGCUCGGUGCUCUGGUGAAGGCACCACAGGAUGCGGACACUGAGGCCGAAUUGGUCGAAGGCGGGUGACCGACAGGCCGCGUGUUACCCAUGCUCCUGCCUAAUAUCUCUGUCUUCCGCAAAGCCCGCCUUGAAAACUCCAACUCUCAUGACUCUCCCUCUUCUACAACCAACACUCACUCAGGCAGGUUUAUAAACUUUAAACAGGUUUAUAGUUUAUAAAACUAUCUUUUUAAGUCUCA